GAGGUGCAUUUUAUGUGAGUUAGAGUCGGUCUACAGAGCAGUGCAUAGCAAUGUUUCAUGCGGUGACAGAGGAGUUUGAAAUAAACUGAGAUGCGAAUUUGAGAUGAUUUAGGAGUCUACGGAUGGCCAGGAUUCCAAGAUGCUGAAGCCUAUAAAAAUAGUGCACUAUGGACAAUAGAGGAGGCCAUAGUAAGCAGAGAGCUGGAGC
rnacentral:lncRNA from 1 species